UUUGGGAAAAAUUGAGUUCUGAUAACAUAUGGUAAAAAUAACCCUUGCUCUUCCCAAUAAAGAUAAACUGCUAUAAUGAUUCAAAUAGUUAUGCAUUUCUCAAGACGAUCACACUUUAUUCAAGAAUAUCAACCAUCAGAAGUCAUCAUUGCAGACAUUAAAUCAUCAGAAAUUACAACGUACAAGUCACAUAACUUCAUAUAUAAAAUUAUACAUUCAUAG
rnacentral:lncRNA from 1 species